UCCAGACUCCUACGGGAGGCAGCAGUGAGGAAUAUUGGUCAAUGGUCGGGAGACUGAACCAGCCAAGCCGCGUGAGGGAUGAAGGUACAGAGUAUCGUAAACCUCUUUUGUCAGGGAACAAAGGCGGGGACUAGUCCCCGGAUGAGGGUACCUGAAGAAAAAGCAUCGGCUAACUCCGUGCCAGCAGCCGCGGUAAUACGGAGGAUGCGAGCGUUAUCCGGAUUUAUUGGGUUUAAAGGGUGCGCAGGCGGCCUUUAAAGGCGGGGGAAAAGGCCCGGGGCCCACCCCCGGCGAGCCGUUGAAACUGGCGGGCUGGAGUUGGAGAGAAGUACGCGGAAUGCGCGGUGUAGCGGUGAAAUGCUUAGAUAUCGCGCAGAACCCCGAUUGCGAAGGCAGCGUACCGGCUCCACACUGACGCUGAGGCACGAAAGCGUGGGUAUCGAACAGGAUUAGAUACCCGAGUACC
rnacentral:rRNA from 1 species